CGGCGCCCGGGUUCCCAGGGGCCGGAAGGAGGGCCAGAGAAGAGGGGGAAGGGGUUAGGAUUUCCUGACGACGAACCUCUGGAGGCCGGGAGGAGGGAGAUUUCUGCUCGCUUUUGGAAAAUUAAGACCACCUCUGGGCACAGCUGUGAAGCAGAGGAAGGAAAGAUAAGGAAAGAAGAAAGAAAAGAGAUUGAGAGGACUUGCCAGGUGCCAGGAACUGGUUUUGAGUACUUAAGAAAAAAAGCUGAUCUACACCCUCCCUGAACUGGUGUUAAACAUCACAUUCAUGGCAAAUGACCAAUGGACCCAAAACAAUGCCCUCUCAGAUGGAUAAAGCUUGAGGAUAUUUGAGUUAUGUAUGGUACAUACGGAAUAUUUAUAGUGAAGAAAGACUUCAUGUGUUGAAGGAAGGAUCCACUGAGUGCAUUAUUCAAGUGAUCAGUGACUGCUCCUCAGAGUCUAAAAUCAUCAUGGAUCUGCCUGUCUUUCACAAGAGCAUACUUACAGGAAACUAGUAUAACAAAAGUUAUUUCCUAUCUGAUUCAUCAUAUUUGGCUGCAUAAACUAGACUUUUCAUCUCUAUAAUAAAGUUUCUAAUGAAAAGAAAAAGAGGGAAAUUCUUACAAUGUAGAAGGUAAGACCUCAGAGAAGUAGAAGAUAUUUAUGAAGAAGCUCAAUUAUUUUGGCAAAUCUAACUCCUAAAAAGAAGCAGAAUUAUUUAACCUCUUUGAGACUCAAUUUCCUCAUUUGUAAUUAGAAUAAUGGCACUCAACUAAUAGAGGCUUUCUGAGGAUUAAGUUUGUUAUGUAAAGCAGUAAGCAUGAUACAUAAUAAAUGUUUAAUAAAUGUUCAGUAUAUGGA